GGGNGGGAUUUUCCNCAAUGGCGCAANCUGACGGAGCAACGCCGCGUGAGGGAUGAAGGCCUCUGGGCUGUAAACCUCUUUUAUCAAGGAAGAAGAUCUGACGGUACUUGAUGAAUAAGCCACGGCUAAUUCCGUGCCAGCAGCCGCGGUAAUACGGGAGUGGCAAGCGUUAUCCGGAAUUAUUGGGCGUAAAGCGUCCGCAGGCGGUUUUACAAGUCUGUCGUUAAAGCGUGGAGCUCAACUCCAUUUCAGCGAUGGAAACUGUAAGACUCGAGUGUGGUAGGGGCAGAGGGAAUUCCCGGUGUAGCGGUGAAAUGCGUAGAUAUCGGGAAGAACACCAGUGGCGAAAGCGCUCUGCUGGGCCAUAACUGACGCUCAUGGACGAAAGCCAGGGGAGCGAAAGGGAUUAGAUACCCCUGUAGUCCUGGCCGUAAACGAUGAACACUAGGUGUCGGGGGAAUCGACCCCCUCGGUGUCGUAGCCAACGCGUAAGGNCCGCCUG
rnacentral:rRNA from 1 species